CCUACGGGUGGCAGCAGUGGGGGAUAUUGGACAAUGGGGGAAACCCUGAUCCAGCGACGCCGCGUGAGUGAAGAAGUAUUUCGGUAUGUAAAGCUCUAUCAGCAGGGAAGAAAGAAAUGACGGUACCUGAGUAAGAAGCCCCGGCUAACUACGUGCCAGCAGCCGCGGUAAUACGUAGGGGGCAAGCGUUAUCCGGAAUUACUGGGUGUAAAGGGAGCGUAGACGGUAAUGCAAGUCUGGAGUGAAAGGUGGGGGCCCACCCCCGGGACUGCUCUGGAAACUGUGUAACUGGAGUGCAGGAGAGGCAGGCGGAAUGCCUAGUGUAGCGGUGAAAUGCGUAGAGAUUAGGAGGAACACCAGUGGCGAAGGCGGCCUGCUGGACUGUAACUGACGUUGAGGCUCGAAAGCGUGGGGAGCAAACAGGAUUAGAUACCCGAGUAGUC
rnacentral:rRNA from 1 species